rnacentral:rRNA from 1 species
UGGGGAAUCUUCCGCAAUGGACGAAAGUCUGACGGAGCAACGCCGCGUGAGUGAAGAAGGUCUUCGGAUUGUAAAGCUCUGUUAUUAGGGACGAAUGUGCUUGCUGUAAAUAAUGGCGAGUAAUGACGGUACCUGAAGAGGAAGCCACGGCUAACUACGUGCCAGCAGCCGCGGUAAUACGUAGGUGGCGAGCGUUGUCCGGAAUUAUUGGGCGUAAAGAGCGCGUAGGCGGGACAAUAAGUCUGUCUUAAAAGAGCGGGGCUCAACCCCGUUAUGGGAUAGAAACUGAUGUUCUUGAGUACCGGAGAGGAAAGUGGAAUUCCCAGUGUAGCGGUGAAAUGCGUAGAUAAUGGGAGGAACACCAGUGGCGAAGGCGACUUUCUGGACGGUGUCUGACGCUGAGGCGCGAAAGCCAGGGAAGUGAACG